ACUUACGGCCACACCGCCCUGGUUAACGCCCGAUCUCGUUUGAUCUCGGGAAGAUAAGAUAGGUUGGGCCUGGUUAGUACUUUGACGGGGGAGACCCGCCUGGGAAUACCAGGUGCUGUAAGCU
rnacentral:rRNA from 1 species